rnacentral:rRNA from 1 species
GUGUCAGCCGCCNCGGUAAUACGAAGGUGGCAAGCGUUGUUCGGAUUUACUGGGCGUACAGGGAGCGUAGGCGGUUGGGUAAGCCCUUCGUGAAAUCUCCGGGCCUAACCCGGAAAGUGCGGAGGGGACUGCUCGGCUAGAGGAUGGGAGAGGAGCGCGGAAUUCCCGGUGUAGCGGUGAAAUGCGUAGAGAUCGGGAGGAAGGCCGGUGGCGAAGGCGGCGCUCUGGAACAUUUCUGACGCUGAGGCUCGAAAGCGUGGGGAGCAAACAGGAUUAGAUACCCUGGUAGUCCACGCCUUAAACGAUGAAUACUAAGUGUCGGCGGGUUACCGCCGGUGCCGCAGCUAACGCAUUAAGUAUUCCGCCUGGGAAGUACGGCCGCAAGGUUGAAACUCAAAUGAAUUGACGG